UACGUACGAGGCAAGCGUUAUCCGGAAUUACUGGGCGUAAAGAGCUCGUAGGUGGCGGGUCACGUCGGGUGUGAAAGCCCGGGGCUUAACUCCGGGUCUGCAUUCGAUACGGGUCUGCUGGGGUCCGGCAGGGGAGACUGGAAUUCCGGGUGUAGCGGUGGAAUGCGUAGAGAUCCGGAAGAACACCGGUGGCGAAGGCGGUCUGCUGGGCAGUUGCUGACACUGAGGCGCGACAGCGUGGGGAGCAAACAGG
rnacentral:rRNA from 1 species